AUACUUACCUGGACGGGGUCGAUGGCUGAUCAAGAAGAGCCGUGGCCUAGAUCAAUGGCUCACAUUGCAUUUGGUGAGUGUGUUGGUCUACCAUCUCCCCAAGUGAAAGAGUGGAUGUUGUAAUUUGUGAUAAAGGGGUACGUGUUCGCGCGGCCCUUG